GACGAACGCUGGCGGCGUGCUUAACACAUGCAAGUCGAACGGAAAAGCCCUGCUGUUGUGGGGUGCUCGAGUGGCGAACGGGUGAGUAACCCGUGAGUAACCUGCCCUUGACUUUGGGAUAACUUCAGGAAACUGGGUCUAAUACCGGAUAGGAGCUCCUGCUGAAGGGUGGGGGUUGGAAAGUUGUGGCGGUUGGGGAUGGAUUCGCGGAUUAUCAGCUUGUUGGUGGGGUAGUGGCAUACCAAGGCUUUGACGGGUCGUCGGCCUGGGAGGGUGGACGGCCACAUUGGGACUAAGAGACGGCCCAGACUCCUACGGGAGACAGCAGGGGGGAGUAUUGCACAGUGGGCGGAAGCCUGAUGCGGCGACGCCGGGGUCGGGAUGACGGCCUGCGGGUAGUAAAACGCUUUCGCCUAUUACGAAGCGUGAGUGACGGUAAUGGAUAAAGAAGCACCGGCUAACUACGUG
rnacentral:rRNA from 1 species